CGAAAGAGCAGAACUCCAUCUCAAAACAAAAACAAAAACAAAAACAAAAAACAAAACAAAACAAAAAACAAACCUCCCACUCCCCACCCCAACCUGGAGUCCACGUAGAGAAAGAGUGGGGGCAGGAGGGCAGCCAGAGAAGGCUGUCAUGCAUGGAAACAUCCAUCCAUCUACAUGCACACCUACACACGUGUGUAUGCCAAUUGGUACAGAACUGUGGGGAAUGCGUAUUGCCAGGAGCCAUGCCAAGCACUCUGCGUGCUAGAUAAUCACACCACCAGCUCCGGGAAAAUAUUCUGAAGGGAAAGUUGUAGGGGUUUGUGGCCAAGCUAUUGAUAGGUGAAAGAGGCAGAGAGAGGCACAGAGAGAGACUGAAGAUGUCCCUAAUGCCUGAAGACGCCUCGAACGCCUGGCUUGCAGGUCUGGGCAGCAUCCCUCAGAGGGACAGGGAGGCCAUGGAGAGACGCAGGUUGAACUACACUGAGUUUGAGUUUCCCCCCCCCCCCCCCCCCCCCACCUUAAGUAAAGCUCAGGAGCCCACCUGCCUUGAGCAGACCCCACCCCCAGGUUCCGUAUCUCCACCAAGAGAUGGGAGGGCAGGCUUCCCAGAACGGGGGAGGCUGACCCUGGACAGAGGCCGUGACGGCUGGCAGAGGGGUUUCUUCCUACCCAGAAGGAGUGCUCCUCUGCCCCUGGCAUUAGAGAGGAGAUGCUGUAAGCAAAGCAGAGAUGCUGUAAGCAAAGUGGUCGCUCUGCUCAGGGUGAUGCCGAGUGGUGGUUCUUGCAGAGGCCACACUGAGAAGCAGAAACAGUGCCAGCCACACUCAUGGCCCCUGAGAAAGGUGGUGUUAGCAGCACAGAGGGGAGAUCAAGGAGCUCCUGUGGGAGCGUGUUUCAAAAAACAGUGUGGUAAGUUUCUAACUUAUGAGGUUGCCAUUUUAUUUAUUCACUUAUUUUGUUUUUUCAGACAGGGUAUUACUCUGUUGCCCAGGCUGGAGUGCGGUGGCACAAUCUCAGCUCAAUGCAACCUCCGUCUCCCAGGUUCAAGAGAUUCUCAGUCUCAGCCUCCCGAGGAGGAAGGAUUACAAUUGUGCACCAACACGGCCGGCUAACUUUUGUAUUUUUAGUAGAGACAAGGUUUUGCCGUGUUGGCCAGGCUGGUCUUGAACUCUUGACCUCAAGCAAUCCUCCUGCUAUGACCUCCUAAAGUGCUAAGAUUAUAGGCGUGAACCACCGCUCUCAGUUGCCACUUGUUUUAUAUAUUUAUUUUUUUAAAAACAUUUUCCUGCUUAAAAAAAAAAUGCAUGUCAGUUGAACUAAACCGGUUCUGUCUGAAUUUAUCCUUUUUUAUGAAUUUUGAAGAAAUAAUCAUGGGCUGGUAACGAUGUUCCUCAUGGCAUGACUUAUCUCAACAUAUGGCAUUUAUUUGGGCAAACACACAGUGCUACAACUCUGCACCCUUUCAAUGCCAUGAAAAGAAAAUAUUUAAGGGCUUGAAAGUCAUUCAGACUAUGUUCAUAACCGAAAAAAGACAUGUAGGGUGUAAUUGUGUUUUUGUUUUAAAAAACAAAAAAAAAUAUUACACUCAUGGAAAAAAAUUAGAAUGAUAUACCAAAAAUUGUGGUUAUUCUGGGAAGAAGAAUUAGAAUUAUAAAUGUCUUAGAUUUUUCUUCUCUUUCUUCAUUUUUAUGAAUUUCCUACCAAAAGUGUGUAUUACUAUGAAGUUAGAAAAAAACAAAAAACAAAACCCAUGUAUUUGUUUUUUGAAGGACAAGCCAGAAGGAGGCUGCGGUGGAGGCGGGGCGGUAGGGAGGGUUCUGUCCUGGAAUUUGGCUGCAUCUGGUGAAACUCAUUGUCUUCAAGGUUUUUUUUUUUUUUUUUUUUUUUUUCCAUGUGAAAACACAGGAAGGCUAUUUUCAGUGGAUCUUUUGUCCUCAAUCCAAAAAGUGUUUUUCUCCUCUAAGAAGGCAAAGUGCAGGUUCUGCCUGGUCCCCAGUGUGGAACUGGCCCAGCAUGGAGGGCUUAACUGGACCAAGCUGCUGUGAGCAGCCGGUCACACUGCAGCUCCCGCUCACUCAGCCAGGAGAGGCUGUGGGGACCCAAGCCCGGCUUGGGGAGAGACUGUCUGAGGUGGCUAUACAGAGCCCAGGGCCCUGCUGGUGGCAGUGACAUGGCUGAAAGGGGAUUGCCACUCAAUUAGGUCACAGGAUUCUGCCCCCAGGGGUCCUGACUCUGUCAGAAGAGUUCACUGGAGUGUGACGAGGGAUGCCUGUCAUCAGGACCCAGCCUGGGCAGGGCCUUCUGUCAAUGCCGCUCAUAAGCAGAGCAAACACUGGGCCACAGAGCUGGGACCUCACGAAUGGGACAGGCAAGACAGGUAAAUGGUUUGUAAUUGGAUCCUCACUGUCUUCUGGCACACUCAUUUGGCGGUGGGUUGGUUCACAGUUGGAGAAACAGAAGAAUUUUUCAGAUGUUUGGGUGUUUCUGAUAAGCUCUGACUUUCAGGUCAAGGCAGAGAGGUGACUUUGCAAACAGCUAGGCCGGAGCUCCUCGACACCUGUAACCUUUUCCAGAGUCACUUUGGAAGCCUAAGUGACCCCACCAAAGUGGAGCAUUGCUCAAACAUUCAAACUCACUUUUUGGAACAGCCUUCAAAGCUCUAUGCUCAUUUGUUGACUGUUCUUAUAAUGGCUGAUUUUCUCUUUCUUUGGAAGUAGACAGAAACCAUCCAGAGCUGAGAGUGUGACGAAGAAUACAAGUGCCGAUGGAGGGGCGUGGCCUUUUAGAGCAUCCUGGGGGCUGUUCUGAGGGCCAGAAGGUUACUGGGUAGGAGACAGAAUCUCCAUUUGUAGUGGAGGUGACAGAGGCGUGCAGAAAUUCGAGGGCUUGUCACUUGGGCAGAAGAUGACAGAGCCACAGUUCAGAGCCAGGACUGUGACUCUUAACUGCCCUUCAGUUCUGCUUGGAAGGGGAGGGAAGUCUGACAGAUCCCAUAGAUGGCGCUCUGUUGGGGAUGGCGUGCAGUGACUGGGUAGAUGGGUUCUAGUCAGUCUCAGGGCAAACGCUGUUCCUGUCCUGUGCCCCAGGCUGAUUCUGGGCAUGUGGGGGCCUUUCUAAAUCAAAGUACUCAGGAAUGAUCCAAACAGCUGUUUUCAAAUGUCUAGAUGCAUGAAGAUAAAUCAUAAGCGGACUAACUUUUUUGUAUCUCAUCUGAAAGUUCUGGUAUUACUUUCCAGCUAUUGUUUCCCAUUUUGUGCUGAGAUCACAUCUUCUUCUGGGUUGGGAGAAUUAUAUUUCCCUUCCGAUAAGACAGCCCGCCAUUUCAAACCAGGCCUAGGUGGAUGCAGUGUGAGCAUAAUCCAUUUAGCACUUCCUUCCCCAGGGCUCUGUCCCCUCAGUGGGGACCAGUGGCUCCCGCAUCCACCUAGAAGUUAGGCUGGUGUUUUUCUGCCUUUUAUGAUGUACUUAGACUUUAUCUGUAAUAUAUAUUCAGAUGUUGAUCUUUUCGUGAAUUCAGAAAGGGCUUUUACCUUCUUGAGCCCCAUCCAUAAGGUUGCAGUAAGCUAAAUGCAUGCUUCAUGGCAGCAGAGAGGGUUUUAUGUCCUUUGUUAAAUAUUUUAAAAUUUUUGCUGUAAUAAACAGGUGGUUAUUGUUACUAUUUCUUUCUAGGAAUUCUUUAUUUCUUCUAGAAUUAGAAGCCUUAAGAAUUUUGUGUCCAAGUUUUCAUAGUAUUUCUUUUCUUCCCCUCUUUCUCUCUGUCUCUUAUUAGAGGGGACCAGCAAGAAAGACGUAAAAAGGUCAGGAUUGGUGCACACUCUUGUAAGGCUGUUAGGAAGAAUAGGGCAGUUGUGGCCUGUUCCGAGGGGCAGUAGGGCAGUUUAGGGCCAACUGUUGGAUAAGCAUGAGGCUUAUCCAAGGCCCCUAUAUUGCUGUCGGCAAGGAAGUAGUGAUUCCAGGCAUUUCUUUCUGUUUGGCAGAAAAAUGGAAAGUUAGUAUCAUAUCAAUUAGCCAAAUUAGGGUGCAGGGAACACAAUCAUUACAUCUGAGAAUAUUCCUUUUGUGUUUAGAACCAUUGCAUUAUCUCCAAACCCCAGACGUAUAUUUGACUGGGAAGCACCUCUUCUUGAGCUGUAGAAGUCACGAAACAUUGACCUGCAGAGUUCCUGGCCAUGCCAGGUUCUGGUCAUGGGUGACAUGGGAUGUGUGCUGAAAAUGACUCCCCGUGGCUGGUGCUGUAGCAACAAGUCCACGAGCUUCCUACUCAUCUCUUCUCUGGCAAUCCAUGGGCUUCCCACCGGGCUCUACUAACAUCCCCUUCUCUUCUGCCUUCCAUUUAUCCCCCCAAACCCGAGUUGUGCAGAACGCUGUUCUUUCUUGUUUUAAUAUUUUAAAAAAGAAAGCAGUGACAUUUUCUAAGACAAGGAUUGUUGGCUGAUUUACUCAUGCUAGGAAUCAAACCCUUCUUAAAAAGCUGCCUUCUCUGCAUGGUGGGUUUUAGAUACUUGGACCAACAAAGCUGGCGUUGUUUUGAGAGGGUUAACUAAGAUUAAUGAGGAAAGAAACGUGAAGCCAUAAAGGAUCAGCGUUUCCAAUCAAUGAUGGAAUAAAUUUAAUGUGUAUUCCAUCUGCAGUUUCCUUGGCACAAAUGUCCAGAUGCCAAUUCCAAAAGGUUUUGCCUUUUUAUGCUUCUAAGUAACCUACUAAGACAAGAACAGUGCGUACUUCAAGUGUAAUAGUGCUUUAUUUAAGGUUUAUACUGCAGUCGAUGUAUUGAUCAAGAGGAAUUUGUAGAAUACAGAGGCAUGUUUUAAUAAGAGCUGGAUAGAGUACCGCAAACCUUGCUAUUCCCAGGACUUUAACAAUUGUGAAUUGCAGCUUCAGCAUCUUAUUUGGGAGAGGAAGGAAAAGGAAAAAAGUAAUUAAUUGUGAUAGAGUAAUGGGGACCACAAAAUGGGGGCUCUAAUCCCCUCCAAAUGCAUGGGUAAUGAAAUCAUGAGUUUCUCUGUAGGUGUUCUGAAAUAACUCAGAAAGCAGCUCUGUGCAUGAGCUUUUUAGAGAUUGUGUAUUUAAGCUGCGUGUAAUUCCUUUUUCAGGUGGGGAGUGGCGUGAGGCCUUGGUCCAUUUCAUUGCUGACAUUAGCCCUGCACCAGCGGGAGAACGUUUCUUCCUUUAAUCACCCCAAGAUUAGCCUGCAGUUGCCUCUUUCUGUUGGAUAUUUGAAUAACAAGCUUGAUGAAGCCACUUAACUCCCUCCAAUUACAAGUGCCAAAUGGGGGUACAAAAAAGAGAGGCCUUUUACAUGUGUGAAUGAUUUCACAGUCCAGUGUCAUAAUCAGAUUCUAGAAAUUGAACUUGCAGAAAGUUUGUGCUAGCCUUGUGGAUUUUCAUUUCAGAUGUUGUCAACUCAAGGGCAUUUGGACCAAUCAAUAUCUGUCUGUCUUCUCGCACAUAGAAAGUUGGCUAUUAGAAAAGAGAGGCUUACAGCAGGGCUCAGCCAAUACCAUUAGCCCUAGCCUAAGGGCAGUUCUGUCCAUGUGCCCGGGUAGGCACCUGCCCCCUCCCCUCCCCCACCAUUAGGGAGGCCACUUGGGAUGUCAUUUGGACAGAGCGGGCAAAGAGCACUUCUUUAUUCUCUCUCUUUUUUACACCCAGACUCCCCCAAAAUCAAUAAAUCUGUUCUUUGCUUAUUUUCAGAACUUUACUUCAAUAUAAGCAAGGACUUUCCUUCCAGCAACAAACUCAAGUAACACCAUGUCAGGCUUAUGUGUGUGUGUGUUUUCUUUCUCUGUUCCAAUUUGAAAAAUAAUUGGAAAUAAUAUCUGAUUGAUGUUCUCUCUCUCUCUCUCUCUUUUUAGCUAAAGAUUUCCUAGAUGAAAGACCUUGAUCCACUGCCUUUCAUGAUUCAGCACUGGAUUUUCUGUUCCAUGCAGCCUUCUAUUGGAAUAAUUUUGUGAAAUGAAGGCAACAAAGUAUUGUUUUCUUAAUCAGAGAGAGCUUCAUACAAAUUAUGCUCAUUGACUGCUAAUUUGUCCUGCAUUGUUACCGAUGCUCUUCUUAUGAUUUUUGUUUUGUACUGAACAGCUUCCUGGCUGAGAGAGAACCCCGAAGCAGUUAAGAUACCAGGAAAGGAAGACUUGAAAAUUGCAACACGCCAGACACAUGGAAGGUGCACAUUAUGUGUAUGUUGAUUAGAAUUGGCUACAGCAAAGGACAUUCUCAGAUAUGCAAAGAACCUCAAAAAUAUAACACUCAUGUACCCUUCUUUAAAAAUGUAUUGAAGAUACCCUGCAGCCAGCUAUGGAAGGAUGGGGAAGUCAUAGCUAAAAGAAAAGAAGUAAACAGCAAAACCAGCAAGGCUUCAGGCAUCUUGGCUUAAUUUCCUGAGAAAGCUGCUUCCAAGUCACGGAGCAUCUCACCGAGGUCCCUGGGAGUGGAGGGCCAGGGCUAUCCAGAAACCCAGCAUGCAUUGACUGACCUAACAAAGGAAGCUGCCCUGGUGCCUGUCACCAGGAAAAACACGGUAUUGGUGUCAGUGCACCCCUCCAGAGAUGCUCCCUAUGUCCCUUCCACUGAGAGCAGCAAAAGCAUGGGGCCCAGCCCUUCUCCUGGCAUGAGCCGUCCUCUCUCCAGAAAGGAGCCUACCCCAGAGCUGUCCUGGGAGCAUACCAUGUUUUAUUACCUCUCCAGCUUCUGGUUGCCCGCCAGGAGCCGAACCAGAGGUGCCAAAAUGCUGUAAGAAAUCAGAUCUCCAAGAGCGCCUGCUCUCACGGCAUUUCCAGCUGUUGGCUCACAGCAAAGCUCUUUUUGAAUUUUGUAAGAAAACAUGUUCUCAAGAGGUUUCCAUUCCAAGUUGGCAGGCUCAAGAAGUCAGAAGAGCUGGAGUCAAAACUUUUCAAGGAACGUCUGAGCUUGGAUCCUAUUCUGCACUUAGUCCGGUCUCCAACUUCUGGGGCCUCAGAUUUGGAAUCGCUGUUGCUGGCUGAUAAUGGACUGUAUUUAUGGUACCCGAGGGGAGGGUGGAGGCGUGUUGCUCCCAGAAUACCAUCAAUGGUUUCAAAGGCUGUGAUACAUGGGCAGGAGACGAUUUAUGGAAGCCUGGUCAGGGAACAGUUUAUGAGUAUCAUUUGAACACAAAUACUUGUCUUUCUUAUGGAAAAGUAGCAUCUUUUCAUUCAGAAAUUAGUAGUGAAAAUUCUGUUUAGCACAUCCAAUUUAAGUCAUCUUUGCUCCCUCAAGAAGUUUUUCCCAAAUUAUUGCAGUAAUCUUUUUUUCUUCUCUCCCAACCUGUCCAAUUCCAAAUUUCUGAUCUGAUGGCUAAACACUCCCACAGAGUCAUGUUCAUCCUUAGUGAAGACCUGAUCUUUUGUCCUAGUAAUUUUCAUGGGCAACUUGUCAUCUUUCUGUCACUUUCCCAGUUUCCUUUCCCCUCGCUGAUGGUGGGUUGAUAGUGACACUACAGGCUGCAAAUGGCAGAGAGGGCAGCUUGGGUGGAAGAAAAAUGCAAUUUCUCCUUGUUCAACCAACCAUUGAAAUGGCCCUUUGGCCAGAAAGGUGGUGGAUAUUCACAUAUGUUGUUUUUUAUUAUUGUGCUAAUGUGAGAAUGGCAAAUUUUUAGUGAUUGGAUUUAGGAAGUUGCAAACUUGCCCCAUUUAAUAUUUUUGUUGAGAGAGCAUCUUCAUCCAUAAAAGCAAAUAUUUUUUAUGGAUGGAGGCUUGUAAUGAUGAGGUAUUUCUGGAAAGCAAUGUAGUAUACUAGAUUAUAAACUUCCCAAACAUUAAAAUAAAGCACUUUGGGAGGGACAUUAACUCUUUUAGGCCACUUAUACAAUUCCCAAAGCACCCAUCAUAAAUCCAGGAAAUUGCAUUGUCAUUGUUAUAUUCAGGAAUAAUUUCACUCCAAUACAUUUCCACACCAUACAUAAUUCUAUUUUAGGGAGUAAAGAUGUUUAGCUUAUGUCAGGAGAGUCUACUGAUUGGUUCUGUCUCGCACCAGUAUUAUUUUAAAUCAAUGAGUGCUGCAGCAAAAUCAGAUAAUUUCUCAGAAGACUUACACGGAAACAUAUUCUACAGUUGUUUAUGUUUGAGGUGAGAGCUUUCAAUUCAAAUCAUUGUUCCAAAAUAGAUGAAUGUCAAGUGUGAUAUCGGUUAAUGUACAUCAGGCACUUGGGGAAACUGAACUGAAGUUGAAAAUCAAGCAGUCAAAAGAGUUGCUUCCCACUGUGGCUUAAUCCCAGGUAGUAACAGGGAGCUGGAAUUAAUGGGUGGAUAGAAAUAUCCCAAGAUGGAGAAGAAUUCCAGACACGUGCAUGCGUCAGACCUGCAGGACACAGCAGAAGCAGCCCUGUCCAGGCACUAGGCCCUGACAGGCACUGAGGCAAGGGGCUUAAUCUGCAACAGUGGGGGCAUCCGGACAGUAGGGGUUUGGGUUGAGACAGUGCCCCAAACAGGCAGAUGGAGAGGAGAAUGCAUAAUCACAUGAUCCUUUUCAGGCCUCCAACUUCUCAAGGAAUUGGAAUUCUGAAACAUGUCUUCUGCAUUUAUAGAUCAAAAGCCCAUGAGUUCAACCUGGAAAGUUGCCACAGAAAACUAGUUAUCAGUCAAGAGGCAAGCAUAUAUUGUGUAAGUAGAUGACAUGCUCUUUUUCCAUAGCCAAAGGCAAAGUCUUCAGGAGAUCUGCACAGUGUUCCUGAGACAUGGCUUGCCUCUCCAUGGCUGUAUGACAUACUUGGCACCAUAGUGAUCCUCGCUGAUGCACUGGAAUGACUUAAUUUGUUUCCAAGAAAUAAGAAGGAAUAUAUGUUUAUUGGAAACGUUUUGGCUAUGUAGGGAAGUAGAUUUCAUGUCCCAGGAAAAAAAAUGACUUGAAGAUUUUGUAAAACCUCAGGUGAAAAUCUGUGGUCCAAAUGAGCAUCUCCUUUUCCACUUAGCUUAAGGAGAAGCAAAUCUCAUUAGGUGCCUGUGCGAGGAGUGUGGGGAAUGUGACACACCUUUCACUGUGCAGACAACACAGGAGCAAUUAGGUGUGACUGAGACACAGUAGGUAACAGCCAGCAGAGGAAUGAGAUGGAAGCAAGUUUGAGGGAACGCAUGGCUUGAAUCAGCUGCAGAUCAUGAGGAAACAUCCUGUCUCAAGAAUUGCCACCAUUUUUAUGAGAGGUAGACACUGACAGCGUCACAAAGGCCACUGCGAGGGAAUAAGCAUCAGGAAAUCUGAACAAGGAACAUGGAUGCUCCAGUCAAAUUGUCAGGUCCUGUAGCUCUAGACAGCACGAGACAGAAAGGCGGCCAAGAGGUUGGGUCAAGAGGCAGCCACUGGCUCCCUCCCGCUCCUCCUUCCAGAGCACACUCAGCUCCCAGGCGCUGGAGGAAAAGCCGCCACAACAGAGCUCCUUGCUGGUACACUAUGCCACAAAUCCAACACUUUUGUCCAACUCUUAUAGUUGAUUUUUAGGAAUAGAAAGUGAUUUUUCAGUUGUUUCCUUUCUUUCAGAGAAGGGGAAUUUCAUUGGAUGUUCACAGUUAUAAAAAAUAGAUUAGUAAAACAAAACUAUGGGAUUUUGGACUAGUGAGAUGGAGAAUCUCUCCACAUUUUUGAGAAGAACAUAAUAUAACAAUUAAGUAUCAAUGCAACAUUUUUCAGUUUCUUAAUUACUGGAAAGACUAUGCAUGUGUACAUAAAUUUUAUUUUGAAUAAUUCAUGGAUCCCUGGUAUCUCUCUGAAGUCCCUUUCCAAUCUUCAGUUCAGAAUGAAGAAUCGGUUGACCACCAGUGUUGGUUAUAAAUUCAAGGUGUUACAAACAAUGAAUGUCAUUCAAUACGACAUUACUGAUAUUUGCCCCUUUCUGAGAUGGGGGGUAUAAAGUCAAUGAUAUCAUCACAUUGCCAUCUUUGUCUUGUCUUUUCUUUUCCUCUUCUCUUCUCUUCUUUUCCUCUUCUCUUUUCUUCUCUUCUCUUCUCUUUUCUUCCCUUCCCUUCCCUUCCUUUGUCUUCCCCU